AGCAUCAAGGCCUUUGGGAUUGCAGAGAAAGGCACGGGAAAGGGCGCUGGAGAUGCCAAUUAGAUAAACAAACCAUCCUGGUGCAGGAACCUCCCGCUGCAAACGGGAUGUGCUGCGAGGGCGAGCUCCAUGAAUCAUCACCUGGGGCUGCAAACACAGACCUGGGAAGCACAAGGACAGGCCACAGCACUGCACACAGGGCUGGGAAUUACCACCUAUCCCCCCAAAACCUGAUGGCAGCUCAGCACGUUCCCUGGGCUCCAGGCUGACCAGGACUCAGAGCACCAAGCAGGUCAGCCAUCCACAGCUUAAGCACAGGAAUCCCUUAAGCUACACCACAUCUACUUCUAGCCCUUAUCCUUCUUAAUGACAAGAUUUCCAGAGCUUUUUAAAGUUCUGGUCAGACACUGAAUCUCCUGGUCCCUGCCAGCGCUGCCUUUUUCUCCUGGGCAAUGGCAAGAGAUUCCAUGGGAUUGAGCCGAAGGCAGAGCAAGUCUCAGCACAGCAGACUGCAGGAGAAAACCCCUCCAGCCCCAACAGCUUCAGCUGACAUUUAUGCCAGUAAUUUGUUUUUAGUUCAGAAGCCUUGUAAAAUUCCUGUAAUGCUUCCCAGAUGCAAGGCUGAGAACUUCACAGGAGUCAGAACAUGAAUUAGAGGUGGUAUGGAAAAUUAUUUAUCCUGGUGAGGGAAGAGAGCAAACCACAGGGACAAAUGCCAGCCUACAGUGAGUGCUGCUACCCUGAAACACGUCCACAUGUCCAUCCACAGAGAGCAGGCACCAAGAGCUGCGUGCCUGGGAGCUCAGUUCAUCCAAGUCCUCCAGAGCUGGAUUAUAAAUGCAGAAUAUCUAAGAAUGACUAUUAAAAAUCAGCUCAAGCCAAAGGAAAAGAGGCUGAGGUAAAAGGCAGGUUGUAAAAGCUCCUGCUUGUGGCAUUAGCAGGAAUUCUAAUGGGAUGUAGCAGGACAAUGCUGGAAGGAAGGAAUGAAGGCUGAGCUCUGAGCACGGCUGUGGUGCAGCCCCACAAUCUGCUGACAGUCUGCAGCACUACCUCCAUGGCUUCCAUGCAAAUUAAAAGCACUCUUGGCACUUA